rnacentral:rRNA from 1 species
GACGAGGGGUCCAAGCGUUGUUCGGAAUCAUUGGGCGUAAAGCGGGUGUAGGUGGCUUUGUAAGUCAGGAGUGAAAUCCCCGAGCUUAACUUGGGAAGUGCUUUUGAAACUGCAGAGCUUGAAUGUGGGAGAGGAUCGUGGAAUUCCAGGUGUAGUGGUGAAAUACGUAGAUAUCUGGAGGAACACCGGUGGCGAAGGCGGCGAUCUGGCCCAACAUUGACACUGAGGUGCGAAAGCGUGGGGAGCAAACAGG